UAGUCCCUGACCGAUCCCAAUUACAAUGUCCCUUGCAAGAUUUUCCUAAUGAAGAUUCUCAGGAUUACAGAUCCUCUAGCAAGGAGACCACACAGAUAGAGAUGACCAGAGCAGAGGAUAUACAGCCCCCCCCCCCCCAAAAAAAAAAAA